rnacentral:lncRNA from 9 species
AUGAUUGUGUGUUUUCUCUCAGCUAGGAUGAUGGCUCUGUUCAAGGAUGAUUGGAGGAGAGAACAGUUCCAGAAUGAAGGACUUCAGGAAAAAUAUGAUGAUCUUCAAAAGAAACUCAAUCAAGUCCAGAAAGAAAUGGCUAGGAUGAUGGCUCAGUUCAAGGAUGAUUGGAGGAGAGAACAGUUGCAGAAUGAAGGACCUCAGGAAAAACAUGGUAAAGCCUCUUUUAUACCCCCUCACCCCCCAAACACUGUAGAACACCUGCGUUUGUGGUGUUGUAGAGAUAUCCCAGCUUUUAACCAACGUGUCACCACUGGCUUGCCCUCUCCAGAUCUCUGCUAUUCUGGCACAAUAUUGCAGUUAGGGACUCUCCCAUAUUCCCCUUCUCUGCUCUUGCAAAGCCUGUAUGUUCCAACAUAGUCUGUGGGUCAAGUGUAAACUCAAGGGGCAUCCCUGCACUGCCUCUGAGCACAUGACCCAAGUGUCCCCAGGUAUUCGAAGACUUCCCAUUGUUUUACCUAGGAAUUUUUUAUUUAGAACCAAUGAGAGUAAUUUUCAUUCUUUCCUUUUUACUUCAUUGACACAGCUGUCAAUUUUGCAAACUCCAAAUACUUCAAAUAUUUGUAGAAGGAUUCAUAGCUUAAGGAAAGACCAAUAAUAAUCAUAAUACAUUUUUGAUUUCUAAGUUUUCAUGCGAAUGACACAAGGAACUACUGUCCUACAAUGUUCCCAGAAGGCUUUUCAUAAAACGCAAACGUAGUCCUUAGAAGUUUAAUACCCUGUUUUUCUAAUGACAUUUUUGUCAGUGUCCUUUCGUUUUCAGAGGGAAUCAAAUUCACCUCUCAAUGCAUGUAGCUGGCUUCAUGUAGCCCCUGCUACAGGCCUUGCUUGCAACCAAUGGAAGUUUUUUCCUCUCUGCUUCCUCCUCUUUUUCAAGUAACUCUGCCUUGUGCGAGUGUGUAUCUCCAUGUUAGACUGAAAAGGGGACCGAAAUAAGAGGAGCUUUAUUUUGCAUGAGUGAAAAUAGAAAUCCACCCCCCAAAAGUUAUGUAAUCUUUGCAGAGUGAAAUGUGAACACAGACAGGUUCCCAAGAGCCAAACCCUGCAUCUUCUCUAGCAGCACCUCUUGAGUAUCCUCUAGUCCAUUGUUCAUGGAUACCUUAUAAACAAAGUUACGACAAGGAAGAGAAGUGGUGAUUUGUAUUUGGCAGUGACAAAGAAUGCCUUAAAGGUAUCCAACCAAAGAGUAAGGUCCCGAGCGUUGUCCAGAUAAUUUAAGAGCUUUGUACAAGGUAACCACCAUCACUAAUGAUCCUGAAAUUUUUCCACCAGACGUAACAUCAUUUUUUUUUUGGCUUUAAUUUUGGACCGGUAAUCUCAGGACAAAAGCAGCUCUCAGGCACGCUGGUAAUAGGUGUGU